rnacentral:tRNA from 1 species
GGUUCUGUGGUGUAAUGGUCAGCACUCUGGACUCUGAAUCCAGCGAUCCGAGUUCAAAUCUCGGUAGAACCU